rnacentral:lncRNA from 1 species
UUGGAUCCGACCUUGACACAGGCACAAAAAAAUUGCCUCUAGAUGAACAAAGGCUUAAAAAAUAAAACCUUAAACCCUCUAUAUUUUUAUGACUUCAGGAUUAGGAUAUGUUUCUUUGAAAAGCUAAAGAAAGAGUCAUAAAGAUUAACAUCCAGCGUACAUAAAGCCUCAAAUACAUCAACAAGAAACCUCCAAUAGAAAUCUUGAGAAAAAGAACAUGCAGAUGGCCAAUAAGCCUAACAGGAGCAUAAUCUCAUGAGUAAUUGGAGUAAAAUAAAGGCGGCCCAGAAGUCGUACCAUCCUAUACCUGCUAGAAUGGCAAAAUGAAGAAAUCUGCCCACACCACGUGGUGAGUCCACCCAACGGCAGCCGCUCGCUCUGUCGGUGGGAACGCACCUCGGAAGCCAGGGCUGCGUUACCAUGUGGUCCAGUUUGCGACCUGGUGACGUCAUACCUCGGGUCCCUGCAGACUUGGUCAUAUAUACCUGAGCUCAGAAUUUCAUAGGGCCGAUGUUCAGACAGGGUGUGCUCUGACGCAGCCCACAUGGGCCGGGCAAGAAAACCGAUGGAGAAAGUGCGGAAGGGAGUCACAACAAAAUCUGUGCAGUGAAGAUGAAAGAGCUACGGAUGCGCUUAAUAAUAUAGAUUCUCUGAGUGACAUAAUGUGAAGUAAAACGCACAGGCCUCCAGGACACUAAGCCUCCGCAGGCCGCGGCCCGCAAGGCACUCUGGGGCAGCCGUCUCGCGGUCGGUUGCCCGCAGGGGCGAAGCCUGUGGCCUUCUAUAGGCACGCGCAGAGCCACCAGCCAAUCAGCGACGCCCUCACUAGCCAAUCAGCGACGCCCUCGGGCGAGGCGAGCCUCGCUUUUCUCCCGCGUGAAGUCUAACUUUCCUCAGAAGCAUCGUGGCGGCACAGCGUACACCUCGGGUAAGGGGCUGGAGUGGUUGGGGCUGGAGUGGUGGGACGCCUCUCGGGAGACCAAUUCCUGUGGUUUUGGCCAUUGGGGACUUUUUUCAGGCGGGAGGAAGGGAGGACUUUGCCUCGCGCUCCAGUCCGAGGCUGCUUUUGAUCCGUGAGGUAAAUUUUUAGGGCCUCUGACAGGAAAGUGAAGUCCGUGAACUUCCCUGAGGGCGGGGCUUCCUGCCGUCGAGUGACGGGUGGAAUGCAGCGGGCAGAACCGGAUCUGACUGGUCCCGACGGCUCAGGCCGCUUUCUGUCUCGGUAGCCGGGUGGGUGGGCUUUCGCCCGC